rnacentral:antisense_RNA from 1 species
CGUUAUGACGAGCUGUGCGCAGGAGGCUUCGGCCUGCCGGAACCUUCUUCCCGGUCUGCAAACCUGCGUUCAGCUCGUCACCUUU